CGAUCCGAUAGGUGAGGCUACUACAGGGAUACGGACUGCUGCCGCGAAACAGUGGAGACACUGUCAGAUGGUUUGAACAGGCUGCAUCGAAACACAAGGUGCAAUCUAACGCAGUUUCACGCCGAAUAUUUUUCGGCACGCCCUGCAAAGUCAAAGCUCAGGCGGUGGC
rnacentral:sRNA from 1 species